AGCGAACGCUGGCGGCGUGCUUAACACAUGCAAGUCGAGCGAAGGUGUUUCAAGGGUAACCUUGAGAUACACUUAGCGGCGGACGGGUGAGUAAUACGUGGAUAACUUACCUCUAGGCCUGGGAUAACCCCGGGAAACUGGGGCUAAUACCUGAUAAGACCACAUUGUCUACGGACAAAGGGGUAAAAGGUGGCUGUGCAAACAGCUAUCGCCAAAAGAUAGGUUCACGUCCCAUCAGGCAGUGGCGAGGUAAUGGCUCACCAAACCAAAGACGGGUAGCCGGCCUUGGCGGGUGAACGGCCACACGGGGACUGAGACACGGCCCCGACUCCUACGGGA
rnacentral:rRNA from 1 species